UCAAGAAAAAAGAGAGACAGAGAAAUAGGGAGGCAGAGAUAGAGAGACAUCACCGUAAGGGCGCCUUCCGUUUCUCAUAUUCGGAUACUUUCUUUUCGCUUCCUUUUCAAUUUUCUUAACACCGAUGCUUGCGAUCCAGAGAUAGAGAAGGAGGAAAAAAUAAACCUUGCGAUACAGAGAUGAGAAGGAGACAGACAUUGAGAGAACUACCACCGGUUUGGAGAGGGCAAAAACAGAGAAAUAAGAGAGAAGGGGAGAGUUCUCCGUUCCCUCUUUAGACUUAAAGCACCACUGCAAGCACAUAGGGAAAGAAAAAUCUAUGGGCUAUAUAUCUAUCACCAUCAGAUCGUAGGAACUGGCUCCGGUGAGUGGAAGAAAAGGCAAGCAGAUGUAGAAGCUGUCCAGGAAGCCAGACGUAAGAUAAAGCUUAAGAGGUAAAGCAACAUGACAAGCAUUAGGCCAUUGUGACUGAACAAAUAUGAGGUGUAGAAAAAAGUUUUAAACACCCCAAAGUGGAUAUGGUAGGCAAGAUUACCAUCAUGCAAUUGCUGCUGAAAAGCUGCCAAACUUAAAUCCUUUUGGUUGUGAUGUAAAGGUCUAAGAGUUCACAAAUCACA